GUAGUCAACAUGCCCAGGGGACGUGGAUAACCUCGGGAAACUGAGGAUAAACCGCGAUAGGCCAUAAUAUCUGGAAUGAUUUAUGGCUCAAAUCUACAUGGCCCCUGGAUUGGACUGCGGCCGAUCAGGCUGUUGGUGAGGUAAUGGCCCACCAAACCUGUAACCGGUACGGGCUCUGAGAGGAGGAGCCCGGAGAUGGGCACUGAGACAAGGGCCCAGGCCCUAUGGGGCGCAGCAGGCGCGAAACCUCUGCAAUAGGCGAAAGCCUGACAGGGUUACUCUGAGUGAUUUCCGUUAAGGAGAUCUUUUGGCACCUCUAAAAAUGGUGCAGAAUAAGGGGUGGGCAAGUCUGGUGUCAGCCGCCGCGGUAAUACCAGCACCCCGAGUGGUCGGGACGUUUAUUGGGCCUAAAGCAUCCGUAGCCGGUUCCACAAGUCUUCCGUUAAAUCCACCUGCUCAACAGAUGGGCUGCGGAAGAUACUAUGGAGCUAGGAGGCGGGAGAGGCAAGCGGUACUCGAUGGGUAGGGGUAAAAUCCGUUGAUCCAUUGAAGACCACCAGUGGCGAAGGCGGCUUGCCAGAACGCGCUCGACGGUGAGGGAUGAAAGCUGGGGGAGCAAACCGGAUUAGAUACCCGGGUAGUCCCAGCUGUAAACGAUGCAGACUCGGUGAUGAGUUGGCUUUAUGCCAACUCAGUGCCGCAGGGAAGCCGUUAAGUUUGCCGCCUGGGGAGUACGGUCGCAAGACUGAAACUUAAAGGAAUUGGCGGGGGAGCACAA
rnacentral:rRNA from 1 species